rnacentral:lncRNA from 1 species
GAAAAAGAGGAGGGGUGGGAAAGAGGGGGGAGCGAGGGAGAGGGGGAGAAGAGAGGGGGGAAAGAGAGGAGAGGGAGAGGGGGAGAAGAGAGGGGGGAAAGAGAGGAGAGAGAGAGGGGGUAGAAGAGGGGAGAGGGGGAAAGAGGGAGAGAAAGAGAGGAGAGAGAGGGGGAGAGAGAAUUUUGCAGAAUUCUGCGAAAAUAUCCUCCAACGUAGAACACCAAAUAAUGCAUGCAGAGCAGAAUUAGGCCGAUACCCGCUAAUUAUCAAAAUCCAGAAAAGAGCCGUUAAAUUCUACAACCACCUAAAAGGAAGCGAUUCCCAAACCUUCCAUAACAAAGCCAUCACCUACAGAGAGAUGAACCUGGAGAAGAGUCCCCUAAGCAAGCCGUACCUGGGGCUCUGUUCACAAACACAAACAGACCCCACAGAGCCCCAGAACGGUAACACAAUUAGACCCAACCAAAUCAUGAGAAAACAAAAAUAUAAUUACUUGACACAUUGGAAAGAAUUAACAAAGAAACUGAGCAAACUAGAAUGCUAUUUGGACCUAAACAGAGAGAACACAGUGGCAGAAUUCCUGACCACUAUGACUGACCCAAACUUAAGGAAAGCUUUGACUAUGUACAGACUCAGUGAGCAUAGCCUUGCUAUUGAGAAAGGCCGCCGUAGGCAGACAUGGCUCUCGAGAAGACAGGCUAUGUGCACACUGCCCACAAAAUGAGGUGGAAACUGAGCUGCACUUCCUAACCUCCUGCCCAAUGUAUGACCAUAUUAGAGACACAUAUUUCCCUCAGAUUACACAGAUCCACAAAGAAUUCGAAAACAAACCCAAUUUUGAUAAACUCCCAUAUCUACUGGGAAAGAGAGGAGAGAGGGGGGGAAAGAGAGGAGAGAAAAGAAGUGGGAGGAAGAGAGGAGAGAGAGAGGGGGGAAGAGAGAAGGGGGAAGAGAGGAGAGAGAGUGGGGGAGGGAAGUGGCGAGAGGGGAGGGAAGUGGCGAGGGAAUGGGAGAGGAAAGAGGGAAUGAGAGGGGAGAGGCGAGGGAAUGAGAGAGGAAAGAGGGAAUGAGAGAGGGGAGAGGAGAGGAGAGGGGAGAGGAGAGGGAAGACGCAAGGCGAGGGAAUGAUAGAGGGAAGAGGCGAGGCAAGGGAAGGAGAGGGGAGAGGAGACGAGGAGAGGGAAGAGGCGAGGCAAGGCAAGGGAAUGAGUGAGAAGAGAGGAGAGGGAAGAGGCGAGGGAAUGAGACAGGGGAGAGGGAAGAGGCGAGGGAAUAAGACAGGGGAGAGGGAAGAAGCGAGGGAAUGAGACAGGGGAGAGGGAAGAGGCGAGGGAAUGAGACAGGGAGAGUAGAGGAGAGGGGAGAGGAGAGGGAAGAGGCGAGGAAAGGGAAUGAGUGAGAAGAAAGGAGAGGGAAGAGGCGAGGAAAUGAGACAGGGGAGAGGGAAGAGGCGAGGGAAUGAGACAGGGGAGAGUAGAGGGAAACAUUACUAUUGAUAAAGGAAAAUUAGCUGAAGGAUGAGAAGCUGAAAGAGGAAAUUAGGAAGGAGAACAAGAGAAAUGAGUGGAAGAGAAUGAAAGAGAAAAACAAGAGAGAGGGGGAGAGAGGAGGGACAGUUGAAAAAUAAAUAAGUUGAUGAAAGAGAUAAAAGGUUGGAGGGGAUGGGAGAGGAGAUGAGAGGAGGGCAGGGCAAGAGAGGAGGUCAAGUUGAAAAAUAAAUAAGUUGAUGAAAAGAUUGAAGGUAGGGGAGAGAAAGUAUAAGUGAGAAAGAGAUGUGAUAAUGAUGUUGGAUAAGAUAAGGACGAGAUAGGAAGAUGGAGGAGGAGAAAAGGAUAUAAAAGAGAAUUCAAGUCAACACAAGAUGCUGAGAGAUAGAGGAAAUAAUCAGAAAAAUAAGAGAGGCAGAAAUACAGGGAGCGGAAGAAAGAGGAACAAAGGAAAAACAUGGAGGUCAAUAAGUUUUGGGGUCUGGUGGUACUUCCUGACUCUGAGAGGGAAGAUGUUCCCAGAACUAUUUUCAUUUAAAGGGCACCUCCAGUAAAAUAAAAAUUAAAAAAGCCAGAGACCAGUAGAAUUUGUGGCCAGAUUAACUUUCCUGACCUAAAAGUAUUUCAUAAAGGGGGUAGGGAAAUCAACUAUUAAAAAGUCAGUUGUCGUUCUGAGCAUUUCAGUGACCUUGCAAUGCCUAGUGAUACAUUUUACUCAAGCUGUAAGUUAGUAGCUAAGUAGCUAGCUAAACAUGCUAACUAGCCACCAUACUAUUUGUGUUACAGAUAGAAAGAACAAUGAGACAGAUAUUUCACUGGACCUGUAAAUGUGAAACAUCCGCUUGGCGUUUACACGACGAAGCCCAUUAGCGGGCAGUGGGAGAAGAUAGAAUGAGAUGUUCCCAAAACUAGAAUCUGUGCUGAACAGAUUGUAAAAAGUUAUUUUUUUUAGACUUUACCCUUUGCCAAAGUUGUAAAAAAUUGUGUUGUUUAGGAGUGCAAAGGCGAAUUGAGUUAUUGCGCACUUCAAAGUAGGCGUACCCUUACGGAAAUAUGCAAAUAUUUAUUAGAACGCGCCAAUAGGAUCUCGCUAUCUUGUGCUUGGCUCUGCCCACCUCUUUGCUUGUUCCCAUUGGAAGUGGUCUAUUUUAGUUAUAAAAAUAUUUGUGUUUUCCUACUAAGUCCUAGCUAGUUAACUUGUAGGUAGCUGAUAAAAUAAUGCAAUUUAUUCAAUGCAUUUUUAUUCUAAACUGUGUUCUUGGAACAGAAUGAUCUCUGUCUGUCCAAAUACAUUUAAACACCACCAGCUAUCAGCUUCAGAGAACUUGCAGUUUGAUGUUGUUACCCAAAGUUGACCUCUGGGUGGGGGUAUAUGCAAGCUAAAAAGUGACUGACUGCUUGUUUCAGACUGGUUUCAACCCUCUUGGGACCUCUAAUCGUGGUCCUCAACCAGAGGUGAUAAAUGUCAGCAUUCCAAGAUUCGUGGGCCAAACCACUGCCCAAAAAACACGUUCAACAGGUCCCUGCCACUCUGACUAAAUUAAACCAGGGCCCAUAUUCACAAAGAGUUUCAACAUAGUCUGCUCUGGGAUCAGAUUUACCUUUCAGAUAAUAAUUAAUAUGAUUAUUUUGACGGGGGGGGGCAGAUCCUAGAUCAGCACUCAACUGUUAAUGGAAGUUCAAUCCAUGAUAAUAUGAUUGUUUCAUAAUUAUGCAUUUUCUUUGGUAAGAGCAGUUCCCACCAGCAGUGUUGUGAAACCAAGUGCCAAUCCACCACCUGCAGCGAGGGGAGUGGAACAGCAGAUGUUUGAGUAUCAACCUCUCUUAUCGUCACUCAAUGCCUAGGUUUACCCCCACUGUACUCGCACUCUACCAUACCCUUGUCUGUACACUAUGCCCUGAAUCUAUCCUACCACGCCCAGAAAUCUGUUCCUUUUAUUCUCUGUUCCCAACACGCGAGACGAGCAGUUCUCAUAGCCCUUAGCCGUACCCUCAUCCUACUCCUCCUCUGCUCCUCUGGUGAUGUAGAGGUUAACCCAGGCCCUGAGUGUCCUCAGGCGCUCUCAUUUGUUGACUUCUGCAACCGUAAAAGCCUUGGGUUCAUGCAUGUUAACAUUAGAAGCCUCCUCCCUAAGUUUGCUUUAUUCACUGCUUUAGCACACUCCGCCAACCCUGAUGUCCUAGCCGUGUCUGAAUCCUGGCUUAGGAAGGCCACCAAAAAUUCUGAAACUUCCAUCCCCAAUUUCAUGAUUUUCCAUCAAGACAGAACUGCUAAAGGGGGUGGAAUUGCAAUCUACUGUAGAGAUAGCCUGCAGGGUUCUGUCAUACUAUUCAGGUCUAUGCCCAAACAGUUCGAGCUUCUGCUUUUUAAGAUCCAUCUCUCCAGAAAUAAGUCUCUCACUGUUGCCGCUUGCUAUAGACCCCCCUCAGCUCCCAGCUGUGCCCUGGACACGAUAUGUGAAUUGAUUGCCCCCCAUCUAUCGUCAGAGUUUGUACUGCUAGGUUACCUAAUUUGGGAUAUGCUUAACACCCCGGCCAUCCUACAAUCUAAGCUAGAUGCCCACAAUCUCACACAAAUGAUGAAGGAACCUACCCGGUACAACCCCAAAUCUGUAAACAUGUGCACCCUCAGAUGUCAUCCUGACCAACUUGCCCUCUAAAUACACCUAUGCUGUUUUCAAACAGGAUCUCAGCGAUCACUGCCUCAUUGCCUGAGUCCUUUAUGGGUCCGUGGUCAAACAACAACCCCUCAUCACUGUCAAACGCUCCCUAAAACACUUAUGCGAGCAGGCCUUUCUAAUCGACCUGGCCCGGGUAUCCUGGAAGGAUAUUGACGUCAUCCCGUCAGUAGAGGAUGCCUGGUUGUUCUUUAAAAGUGCUUUCCUCACCAUCUUAAAUAAGCAUGCCCCUUUCAAAACAUGUAGAACUAAGAACAGAUACAGCCCUUGGUUCUCUCCAGACUUGACUGCCCUUGACCAGCACAAAAACAUCCUGUGGCAUACUGCACUAGCAUCGAAUAGUCCCCGCGAUAUGCAACUUUUCAGGGAAGUCAGGAACCAAUGCACACAGUCAGUUAGGAAAGCAAAGGCUAGCUUUUUCAAGCAGAAAUUUGCAUCCUGCAGCACUAAUUCCAACAGGUUUUGAGACACUGUAAAGUCCAUGGCGAAUAAGAGUACUUCCUCCCAGCUGCCCACUGCACUGACACUAGGAAACACUGUCACCACUGAUAAAUCCAUGAUAAUAGAGAAUUUCAAUAAGCAUUUCUCUAUGGCUGGCUAUGCUUUCCACCUGGCUACCCCAACCCCAGCCAACAGCUCUGCACCCCCCGCAGCAACUGGCCCAAGCCCCCCCCCACCGCUUCUCCUUCACCCAAAUCCAUACAGCUGAUGUUCUGAAAGAGCUGCAAAAACUGGAUCCCUACAAAUCAGCUGGGCUAGACAAUCUGGACCCUCUCUUCCUAAAAUGAUCUGCCGUCAUUGUUGCAACCCCUAUUACUAGUCUGUUCAAUCUCUCUUUCGUAUCGUCUGAGAUUCCUAAAGAUUGGAAAGCGGCCGCGGUCAUCCCCCUCUUCAAAGGGGGAGACACUCUAGACCCAAACUGCUACAGACCUAUAUCAAUCCUGCCCUGCCUUUCUAAGGUCUUCGAAAGCAAAGUGAACAAACAGAUCACCGACCAUUUCGAAUCGCACCGUACUUUCUCCGCUAUGCAAUCUGGUUUCCGAGCUGGUCACGGGUGCACCUCAGCCACGCUCAAGGUCCUAAACGAUAUCAUAACCGCCAUCGAUAAAAGACAGUACUGUGCAGCCAUAUUCAUCGACCUGGCCAAGGCUUUCGACUCUGUCAAUCAGAACAUUCUUAUUGGCAGACUCAACAGCCUUGGUUUCUCUAAUGACUG